AUUUUGGGGUUCAGGGUCACUUUUGGGGUCCCAGGGUUAUUUUGGGGGUCUCAGGAUCAUUUUGGGGCAGUUCAGGGUUAUUUUGGGGUGGCUCAGGGUUAUUUUGGGGUGCUCAGGGAUGAUUUUGGGGUGAAUUUGCGUUGAUUUGGGGUCGGCCCGAGGCCGCAGCCGCGGCUGAGAGAGACCUGGGGGGGGAGGGGCUUUUGGGGUCAUUUUGGGUCAUUUUGGGUCAUUUUGGGUCCUUUUGGGUUACUUUGGGUCAUUUUGGGUCAUUUUGGGUCCUUUUGAGCCCUUUUGGGUCCUUUUAGGUCCUUUUGGGUCAUUUUGGGCCCUUUUAGGUCAUUUUGGGUCACUUUGGUUCCUUUUGGGACCUUUUGGGUCAUUUUGGGGCCACUUUGGGUCACUUUGGGGCCACUUUGGGCCCUUUUUGGUCCCUUUUGGGGCCAUUUAGGGUCAUUUGGGGUCCUUUGGGACAUUUUGGGGCCAUUUUCGGGGUAUUUGAGGGAUAUUUCAGGGACAUUUUUGGGAUAUUUGGGGCCAUUUUGGGGCCAUUUUUGGGGACAUUUCAGGGACAUUUCAGGGUCACUUGGGGCGAUUUUUGGGGACAUUUCAGGGUCACUCGGGGACAUUUCAGGUCCAUUCCAGGGGUAUUCCAGGGAUAUUCC
rnacentral:lncRNA from 1 species